rnacentral:lncRNA from 10 species
AUGCCUGAAGGGAGAGAGAGACAAUUCAAAGGGUGGAAAGAGGUUAGCUGGUUGAGCCCUGUGGGAGGGUGCCUGGGGGUGAGGACACCUUGAGGAUUGUUGCUCUGCUCUACACUCAGUGGAUCCUGGUCCCUGCUCUCGACGGGAGGGGCAAUUAAGGGGUGUUCAAGGUUCGUCUGGACUCUAGACUUCUUCCUUACAUGCUGAAUUUUCAAUCCAAGCCCUGCUCGAAAGCCAACUGUACUGCGCCUGCAAGUGGAGCUGUGGACUGGACGGCAAGCAGAGGGGAAGCCUUUGAAGAUGGGAACCCAGUUUUGACAGUUUUACAGGCUUACCUGUGGACCUUGUCUCAGAUGAGAUUUUGGACAUUUGGACAUUUGGACAUGAGGAAUUGGACAUUUAAGUUUGUGCUGGAAUGAGUUAAAACUUUGGGGAACUAUUGGGAAGACAUGAUUGCGUUUUGAAAUGUGAGAAGAACAUGAAAUUUGGGAGGGACCGGGACAGAAUGAUAUGGUUUGACUCUGUGUUCCCACCUAAGCCUUAUAUUGAAUUGUAAUCCCCCAGUUUUGGAGGUGGGGCCUGGUGGGAGGUGAAUGGAUCAUCGGGGUGUUUUCUAAUAGUUUAAUACCAUUCCCCUAGUGCUAUCUUAUGAUAGAGUUCUCAUGAGAUCUGUUUGUUUAAAAGUGUGUAGCACUUUCCCCUUUACCCUCUCUCCUCUGUCGCCAUGUGAAGAUGUGCUUGCUUCCCCUUCACCUUCCAUCAUGAUUGUAAGUUUCCUGAAGCCUCCCAGCCAUGCCUCCUGUACAGCCUGUGGAACUGUGUGUCAAUUAAACCUCUUCACUUUAUAAACUACUCAGGCUAAGGUAAUUUUGUUUAGCAAUGUGA